UACGUAGGGUGCGAGCGUUGUCCGGAAUUAUUGGGCGUAAAGAGCUCGUAGGUGGUUCGGUAAGUCGGGGGUUAAACCCCCAGGCUCAACCUGGGGACGCCACUCGAUACUGCUGUGACUAGAGUCCGGUAGGGGAGCGUGGAAUUCCUGGUGUAGCGGUGAAAUGCGCAGAUAUCAGGAGGAACACCAGCGGCGAAGGCGGCGCUCUGGGCCGGUACUGACACUGAGGAGCGAAAGCGUGGGUAGCAAACAGG
rnacentral:rRNA from 1 species